UACGAAGGGGGCUAGCGUUGUUCGGAAUCACUGGGCGUAAAGCGCGGGUAGGCGGCGCGUUAAGUCAGGGGUGAAAUCCCGGAGCUCAACUCCGGAACUGCCUUUGAUACUGGCGUGCUGGAGCGUGGGAGAGGUUGGUGGAACUCCGAGUGUAGAGGUGAAAUUCGUAGAUAUUCGCAGGAACACCAGUGGCGAAGGCGGCUCGCUGGAUCAUUGCUGACGCUGAGACGCGAAAGCGUGGGGAGCAAACAGG
rnacentral:rRNA from 1 species